GGAGAGGUGCAAGAGUGGUUGAAUUGGCAGCACUGGAAAUGCUGUGAGCGGGAAACCGUUCCGUGGGUUCGAAUCCCACCCUCUCCGCCA
rnacentral:tRNA from 3 species